rnacentral:rRNA from 1 species
GACGAACGCUGGCGGCGUGCUUAACACAUGCAAGUCGAACGAAGUGGCGAACGGGUGAGUAACGCGUAAUCAACCUGCCCUUAAGAGGGGGAUAACAGUUGGAAACGACUGCUAAUAACGCAUACUGAAGGAGGGGAGUGUGUGUGAUUAGCUAGUUGGAGGGGUAACGGCCAACGAAGGCGAUGAUAAGUAGCCGGUCUGGGGGGAUGAACGGCCACAUUGGGGCUGGGACACGGCCCAGACUCCUACGGGAGGCAGCAGUUGGGAAUCUUCCGCAAUGGACGAAAGUCUGACGGAGCAACGCCGCGUGAGUGAUGACGGCCUUCGGGUUGUAAAGCUCUGUUAAUCGGGACGCGGUACCGGAAUAGAAAGCCACGGCUAACUACGUGCCAGCAGCCGCGGUAAUUC